rnacentral:rRNA from 1 species
ACGCUCGACACCUACGGGAGCAGCAGUCGGGAAUAUUGCGCAAUGGAGGAAACUCUGACGCAGUGACGCCGCGUGCAGGAAGAAGGUUUUCGGAUUGUAAACUGCUUUAGACAGGGAAGAAAAAGGACAGUACCUGUAGAAUAAGCUCCGGCUAACUACGUGUCAGCAGCCGCGGUAAUCUGAGCGGGCUGGCAAGGC